AUUGAACGCUGGCGGUAUGCCUAACACAUGCAAGUCGAACGGCAACAGGUUAAGCUGUCGCGCGGCGAACGGGCGAGUAACGGAUCGGAACGUGCUCAGUCGUGGGGGAUAACUGCGCGAAAGAGCAGCUAAUACCGCAUACGACCUGAGGGCGAAAGCGGGGCGGCGCAAGACCUCGCGCGUUCGGACCGGCCGAUAUCAGAUUAGGUAGUUGGGGAGGUAAAGGCUCACCAAGCCGACGAUCUGUAGCUGGUCUGAGAGGAGGACCAGCCACACUGGGACUGAGACACGGCCCAGACUCCUACGGGAGGCAGCAGUGGGGAAUUUUGGACAAUGGGCGCAAGCCUGAUCCAGCCAUGCCGCGUGCGGGAAGAAGGCCUUCGGGUUGUAAACCGCUUUUGUCAGGGAAGAAAAGGUUCUGGCUAAUACCUGGCACUCCUGACGGUACCUGAAGAAUAAGCACCGGCUAACUACGUG
rnacentral:rRNA from 1 species